rnacentral:rRNA from 1 species
CUGGCCUUGACAUGCAGAGAACUUUCCAGAGAUGGAUUGGUGCCUUCGGGAACUCUGACACAGGUGCUGCAUGGCCGUCGUCAGCUCGUGUCGUGAGAUGUUGGGUUAAGUCCCGUAACGAGCGCAACCCCUAUCCCUAGUUGCUAGCAGUUCGGCUGAGAACUCUAGGGAGACUGCCGGUGACAAACCGGAGGAAGGUGGGGAUGACGUCAGGUCAUCAUGGCCCUUACGGCCAGGGCUACACACGUGCUACAAUGGUGCGCACAGAGGGCUGCAAACCCGCGAGGGGGAGCCAAUCUCACAAAACGCAUCGUAGUCCGGAUCGCAGUCUGCAACUCGACUGCGUGAAGUCGGAAUCGCUAGUAAUC